rnacentral:rRNA from 1 species
GACGAACGCUGGCGGCGUGCCUAAUACAUGCAAGUAGAACGCUGAAGGAGGAGCUUGCUUCUCUGGAUGAGUUGCGAACGGGUGAGUAACGCGUAGGUAACCUGCCUGGUAGCGGGGGAUAACUAUUGGAAACGAUAGCUAAUACCGCAUAAGAGUAGAUGUCGCAUGACAUUUGCUUAAAAGGUGCAAUUGCAUCACUACCAGAUGGACCUGCGUUGUAUUAGCUAGUUGGUGAGGUAACGGCUCACCAAGGCAACGAUACAUAGCCGACCUGAGAGGGUGAUCGGCCACACUGGGACUGAGACACGGCCCAGACUCCUACGGGAGGCAGCAGUAGGGAAUCUUCGGCAAUGGACGGAAGUCUGACCGAGCAACGCCGCGUGAGUGAAGAAGGUUUUCGGAUCGUAAAGCUCUGUUGUAAGAGAAGAACGAGUGUGAGAGUGGAAAGUUCACACUGUGACGGUAGCUUACCAGAAAGGGACGGCUAACUACGUG